rnacentral:rRNA from 1 species
UAGUCUGGUGCCAGCAGCCGCGGUAAUUCCAGCUCCAAUAGCGUAUAUUAAAGUUGUUGCAGUUAAAACGCUCGUAGUCGGAUUUCGGGGCAGGUUUGCCGGUCUGCCGAUGGGUAUGCACUGGUAGAACUGUCCUUCCUUCCGGAGACGGCGCCUACUCUUAACUGAGCGGGUGUCGGAGACGGAUCGUUUACUUUGAAAAAAUCAGAGUGUUUCAAGCAGGCAGCUCGCUUUUGCAUGGAUUAGCAUGGGAUAAUGAAAUAGGACUUUGGUGCUAUUUUGUUGGUUUCGAACACCGAAGUAAUGAUUAACAGGGACAGUCAGGGGCACUCGUAUUCCGCCGAGAGAGGUGAAAUUCUUAGACCAGCGGAAGACGAACCACUGCGAAAGCAUUUGCCAGGGAUGUUUUCACUGAUCAAGAACGAAAGUUAGGGGAUCGAAGACGAUCAGAUACCGUCGUAGUCUUAACCAUAAACCAUGCCGACUAGGGAUUGGAGGAUGUUCCUAUGUGACUCCUUCAGCACCUUUCGGGAAACUAAAGUCUUUGGGUUCCGGGGGGAGUAUGGUCGCAAGGCUGAAACUUAAAGGAAUUGACGGAAGGGCACCACCAGGAGUGGAGCCUGCGGCUUAAUUUGACUCAACACGGGGAAACUUACCAGGUCCAGACAUUGUGAGGAUUGACAGAUUGAGAGCUCUUUCUUGAUUCGAUGGGUGGUGGUGCAUGGCCGUUCUU